rnacentral:rRNA from 1 species
CAGCCGCCGCGGGAAAACGAAGGGGGCUAGCGUUAAUCGGAAUUACUGGGCGUAAGGCGCACGCAGGUGGUGGUUUAAGUCCGUUGUGAAAGCCCUGGGCUCAACCUGGGAAUUGCAGUGGAUACUGGGUCACUAGAGUGUGGUAGAGGAUAGUGGAAUUUCCGGUGUAGCAGUGAAAUGCGUAGAGAUCGGAAGGAACAUCUGUGGCGAAGGCGACUAUCUGGGCCAACACUGACACUGAGGCACGAAAGCGUGGGGAGCAAACAGGAUUAGAUACCCGCGUAGUCCCUGUCUCUUAUAC